rnacentral:rRNA from 1 species
UACCGAUUCCCUCUCCACGAGCAGGUACAGGACUCAAACUCUCGACAGUGUGUGCUCAAACUCUUGAGUACACGCGGUCUGUGCUCGUCCUGCAACAGACAUCCAUGAGGCGAGAGCGGGUCCAGGUUGUUAAAGGCGCUAUCAUUAAGGCCUGCCUUUUUGGACUGCACGAGGUUAGGGCACGUGGCGCGCUGAGGGCGGGGCGGGGUUAGGAAGCACCGAGGAUCUGCACCAAGCGCACGAUGAGGCAGGCAACCAGUAGGAGGCAAGCGACUAGACGAACACUUAAGACGUGCGAUGUACGCGGGCAGGUCGUCCACAUGACCAACCGUGCGACGCGACGUCCAAGUCGGGACACCCGAGAACUAACGCUCAGUUCGGUGCACGAGUGGUCUAGUACGCCCAGAGGACUUUUGACGACGAUGACGAGCGCGGCGGCGAUAUCCAGAAACGGCGUAGAGAGGACUGGAGCAGCGUUUUUUCCUCUCUAUAAUAGGAUUUGUUCUCUGUGGGACGUAGCCGGCGGUAGGGGAACGGGGCGGAGGGGGACAAGGAAACGGCUCGGGCGGAGGGAACGGUGAAAGAGGCGCGCAGCCCCUGCGUAUGACGUAGAAGCGGUAGGAGGAGCGCAGCACCUACGUGUGCAGCAGCAGUUGUAGGAGGAGCGCAGCCCCUUCCACGCCGGCGGCAACAAGGAGGCGCGCUGGACUCUACGGCUCCGGCGGCAAGAAGGAGGCGUGUCGGUCCCUGCUGCGUUUGUGGCUGCGGGGGCAGGAGUUGAUGUAGUCAAGUCGUCAUGCGGGGGAGAGGAGCGAGUAGGAGAAAACAAGGAACGGCUGCCGCGGUUGGCCGUGUGUCGUCGGCUGACCUAAGAAGAUGAGGUUGUGACUUGUUCCUCUUUCAUACCAAAGAAGGCUCUCUGCAGUUCAACUACUUGUACAGUUAUUCUAGUAACUUAACUUUUAUUCUAGGACGUAGGGAAGUUCCAGUUCAGUCCCGGAGGCCCAACCGCAGUACUACUCGUCUUCACCUAAUCUAUCAAGAAUC